rnacentral:rRNA from 1 species
AUGGCAUGGAGGCGUCACGCAAAAAUUAGAGGUUGCACCCUGAGUGAUGAAAAUACAAGGUUCUUUCAUGCUGCGGCCAGCCAGCAUCACAAAAAGAGUAAAGUACAACUACUGAUCAAGGAAGGGGUCCAGUUCUUUGGUGAACAGGAUAAGUUGCGCAUUGCAACAGACUAUUAUCAGGAACUGCUCGGGCAGCCAUCCCCAUCCUUGCCAACGAUUGACUUAUCUGAGCUCUAUGUUCCUUUUGAUUUAAGGGCACUGGAAGAACCUUUUACUUGGGCUAAAAUUACUACUGCAAUCCAGAAAAGCCCUAACAACAAAAGCCCAGGGCCUGAUGGUUUUACUAAUGAAUUUUACAAAUGCUUCAGGGAGCUUUUAAGGGAGGACCUGCUGAGUUUCUUCCAGGAGUUCUAUGAGCUUGGCAGCAACCUGAGUGGUAUUAAUGUUGCCAACAUUGUGCUAAUCCCCAAGAAGGACAGCCCAACAGAUAUUAAGGAUUUUCGGCCAAUCUCGUUGGUGCAUAGCCUGCCCAAGCUGCUUACCAAAGUGCUCGCUACACGGCUGCAACGACUCAUUCCAGCCAUGAUUCAUCCGUUACAAUCGGGUUUCUUG